GUGAGGGGGGAGGAAUAAUAGAAACCUUUUUACUAUAUUGAUGCGAAAUGAAAAGUAAUUCAGAAAUGCAAUUUAGCGAUGACCUCUCCUCUGGGUGGCUAUGAAAAACAGCCUUGUUUUCUUUUUAUAAAGAAAUGCUGGCAUGCUUGACUUUAGUGAAUCAAGAGAAUUGUUUGGCAAAUAACAGUGAUGGUGUGUGUCCUUGUCAGAACACCUGCUGUAUUCUCCCAGCAAACACUGGGGCCACGGCGUCUCUCCUCUAAUGACACCUCAUCAAUCCGCUCCUAUCAAUGUCCCAGCCAUGGAGGUGACUUCGAGUGCUCAGAAGCCUUAGAAAAUGUCAACGUUUUGGGAGAAAAGCUUGCUGACAUGGUGUAUCCUGAAAUGGAGAGAGUUAAAUGAAGAAUUUGAAAUCCUCCUAAGGCCAGAAACCUGCGCGUGCUUUGGAUAUGAUGGACGUGAAGACGUUAAGAUCUCUACUUAAUUUCCAGAUCUCAGCCAGAAUGGCCCCUCUUUCUUCAAGGAGAAUCUUUUAGGGGCUUUAUUGCCUUCCUACGGCUUUUUGUGCAUAUUGUCACUGUAAGUCUCACUUAACAAAUAGCACCCAAGGGCAGGUCCUUCUCUCCUAAAGGUAGGACUUGCCUUUAUACCUCCCAUUCCAGUGCUUAACACACCUUCAGGAUGACAGGUGCUAAACACGUGUUGGCUGACUGGAUGAACAAUGACAAGCUGCUUGUAGGGCACAGCUGGGGUUAAUACUCAGUUUGAAAAAAAAAUUCCAAAACUAAUGUUCUUUCUACCAUUCCUCAUGCUAUCUGUAUAGGGGAAAAUUUUUUCUCAGAGAGAGAAACACAUAUUUAAUUUACAUCCCCCCAAAAAAACCCCACAAAAAUAAAUUUUAAUAAUAAUAAUAAUAAUAAUAAUAA
rnacentral:lncRNA from 1 species